rnacentral:tRNA from 1 species
GCCUUCGUGGUGUAACAGUUAGCGCACACGGUGCGUAUUCCAGAGGUCCGAGGUUCGAGUCCCUGCGAGGGCA